UGAAACUGAAAAGCGGGAAUGAAUGAAUGAAUAUCCAAUUCCAAUUCCACCAACAGUGAAUAAUGGCAUGGGUGAAGUGAAAGGGAAUGAGUGAGCUGUUUUGUGUUUAGUUGGUUUUAUCGUGUCGUUUCCGCGUGCUCAACAGUCAACAGUUUUCCGUUUCCGCGUGCUUCCCAUAUGUAUCCUUUGAUUCCUUUCAUCCAUUUCUUAAUUUCCGCUUCUUCUUCUUGUUUUUUGAAGUAUAAUACAAUAAUAUGACCCACGACAGACCAAAAAAAUAAAUAAAAAAAUAACAUGAUCAACAUUACCUGAGACUUCAACAACCAACCGGCAACUCACCGGCCAAGCAAACGGCAACCUCAUCAAUCAAAUCGUUGAGGUCAAAUUGGGUUGGCGAGCACAGAGAAGCGCCUGCGUUUGUUACCAGUAGAACGAUUUCCAGUUUUGGGCUAGUGUCCUGUUGGUUGGGUGGUCGGAUCCCGGAGGCUUUCGGGUGGUCAGCAACAUGAGUGCAGCGGCUUGAGGGUGCGAUCUCGAUCCAUGAGGCCAGUAGGUGCAGGUAUCAGCGAUACAGCCGCGGUCGGGCAAGUCAGGGAGUGGCAGGCUUCAUUCGUGUUCCGGCAAGGCGUGGCCGAGGAUUGCUGCAGCUGAGACUAGGUUGUUCCUACUCGAUCUGAUGCUGUGGUCAAAAUGACAUGACGGCGGCAGAGGCAAAGGAGCAGCAGUGCAAUGACGCUCCUCCUCUCUCUUCUUGGGUUUGGGCCUGCAGGCUAGGGUUCAGGUCAAGGCAAUCUGGGCCCUAAUGUAUUAGGGUAUCGAGCCUGUUUAAGGUUGAAUAAACUUCUAUGAGUCUUGUAUGACGGUUUUAAUUUCUUACUUGUACCAUAAUUGCUUGAUUGGCAAGUGAGGGCUAGUUGAACGAAUUCAUUUUCAUAGGAGGCGAGGUUGGUUCCAUUCUUGUAUAGACUCGCUUAAUUGUGAGCGUCCCAGAGAUCCUUAAUGGUUUGCUUUGGUUUAGUUCGGAUUUUCUUGCCGGAUUUCUUAUGUAAGCUCUGAAGAUUAUAGCAUUUGGUUGUUGAUCUAA